rnacentral:rRNA from 1 species
GAUGAACGCUAGCGGGAGGCCUAACACAUGCAAGCCGAGCGGUAGAGUCUCUUCGGAGACUUGAGAGCGGCGCACGGGUGCGGAACACGUGUGCAACCUGCCUUUAUCUGGGGGAUAGCCUUUCGAAAGGAAGAUUAAUACCCCAUAAUAUACUGGAUGGCAUCAUCUGGUAUUGAAAACUCCGGUGGAUAGAGAUGGGCACGCGCAAGAUUAGAUAGUUGGUGAGGUAACGGCUCACCAAGUCUACGAUCUUUAGGGGGCCUGAGAGGGUGAUCCCCCACACUGGUACUGAGACACGGACCAGACUCCUACGGGAGGCAGCAGUGAGGAAUAUUGGACAAUGGGUGAGAGCCUGAUCCAGCCAUCCCGCGUGAAGGACGACGGCCCUAUGGGUUGUAAACUUCUUUUGUAUAGGGAUAAACCUAGAUACGUGUAUCUAGCUGAAGGUACUAUACGAAUAAGCACCGGCUAACUCCGUGCCAGCAGCCGCGGUAAUACGGAGGGUGCAAGCGUUAUCCGGAUUUAUUGGGUUUAAAGGGUCCGUAGGCUGAUUUGUAAGUCAGUGGUGAAAUCUCACAGCUUAACUGUGAAACUGCCAUUGAUACUGCAAGUCUUGAGUGUUGUUGAAGUAGCUGGAAUAAGUAGUGUAGCGGUGAAAUGCAUAGAUAUUACUUAGAACACCAAUUGCGAAGGCAGGUUACUAAGCAACAACUGACGCUGAUGGACGAAAGCGUGGGGAGCGAACAGGAUUAGAUACCCUGGUAGUCCACGCCGUAAACGAUGCUAACUCGUUUUUGGGUUUUCGGAUUCAGAGACUAAGCGAAAGUGAUAAGUUAGCCACCUGGGGAGUACGAACGCAAGUUUGAAACUCAAAGGAAUUGACGGGGGCCCGCACAAGCGGUGGAUUAUGUGGUUUAAUUCGAUGAUACGCGAGGAACCUUACCAAGGCUUAAAUGGGAAAUGACAGGUUUAGAAAUAGACUUUUCUUCGGACAUUUUUCAAGGUGCUGCAUGGUUGUCGUCAGCUCGUGCCGUGAGGUGUUAGGUUAAGUCCUGCAACGAGCGCAACCCCUGUCACUAGUUGCCAUCAUUAAGUUGGGGACUCUAGUGAGACUGCCUACGCAAGUAGAGAGGAAGGUGGGGAUGACGUCAAAUCAUCACGGCCCUUACGCCUUGGGCCACACACGUAAUACAAUGGCCGGUACGGAGGGCAGCUACACAGUGAUGUGAUGCAAAUCUCGAAAGCCGGUCUCAGUUCGGAUUGGAGUCUGCAACUCGACUCUAUGAAGCUGGAAUCGCUAGUAAUCGCGCAUCAGCCAUGGCGCGGUGAAUACGUUCCCGGGCCU